GACGAACGCUGGCGGCGUGCUUAACACAUGCAAGUCGAACGGAAAGGCCCCUUUGGGGGUACUCGAGUGGCGAACGGGUGAGUAACACGCGAGUAACCUGCCCUUGACUUCGGGAAAACUUCAGGAAACCGGGGCCAAUACCGGAUAGGAAUCCUUGCUGCAUGGUGGGGGUUCGUAAGCUUCGGCGGUUUUGGAUGGACUUGCGGCUUAUCAGCUUGUUGGUGGGGUAGCGGCUUACCAAGGCUUUGACGGGUAGCCGGCCUGAGAGGGCGACCGGCCACAUUGACACUGAGAUACGGCCGAGGCUCCGACGGGUGGCAGCAGUGGGGAAGAUUGCUCAAUGGGCGGACGCCUGAUGCAGCAACGCCGCGGGCGGGAUAGCGGCCUUCGGGUUGAGGACCGCUAUCAGCAGGAGCGAAGCUUGUGGUGACGGUACCUGCAGAAGAAGCACCGGCUAACUUCGUG
rnacentral:rRNA from 1 species